UGCUGGGGGAUUAGUGGCGAACGGGUGAGUAACACGUGAGUAACCUGCCCUUGACUCUGGGAUAAGCCUGGGAAACUGGGUCUAAUACCGGAUAUGACUGUCUGACGCAUGUCAGGUGGUGGAAAGCUUUUGUGGUUUUGGAUGGACUCGCGGCCUAUCAGCUUGUUGGUGGGGUAAUGGCCUACCAAGGCGACGACGGGUAGCCGGCCUGAGAGGGUGACCGGCCACACUGGGACUGAGACACGGCCCAGACUCCUACGGGAGGCAGCAGUGGGGAAUAUUGCACAAUGGGCGCAAGCCUGAUGCAGCGACGCCGCGUGAGGGAUGACGGCCUUCGGGUUGUAAACCUCUUUCAGUAGGGAAGAAGCGAAAGUGACGGUACCUGCAGAAGAAGCGCCGGCUAACUACGUGCCAGCAGCCGCGGUAAUACGUAGGGCGCAAGCGUUAUCCGGAAUUAUUGGGCGUAAAGAGCUCGUAGGCGGUUUGUCGCGUCUGCU
rnacentral:rRNA from 1 species